rnacentral:rRNA from 1 species
CUACGCACUCCUACGGAGGCAGCAGUGGGGAAUAUUGCACAAUGGGCGCAAGCCUGAUGCAGCCAUGCCGCGUGUAUGAAGAAGGCCUUCGGGUUGUAAAGUACUUUCAGCAGUGAGGAAGGUGGGUAUGUUAAUAGCAUACUCAUUUGACGUUAGCUGCAGAAGAAGCACCGGCUAACUCCGUGCCAGCAGCCGCGGUAAUACGGAGGGUGCGAGCGUUAAUCGGAAUUACUGGGCGUAAAGCGCAUGCAGGUGGUUUGUUAAGUCAGAUGUGAAAGCCCGGGGCUCAACCUCGGAAUUGCAUUUGAAACUGGCAAACUAGAGUACUGUAGAGGGGGUAGAAUUUCAGGUGUAGCGGUGAAAUGCGUAGAGAUCUGAAGGAAUACCGGUGGCGAAGGCGGCCCCCCUGGACAGAUACUGACACUCAGAUGCGAAAGCGUGGGGAGCAAACAGGAUUAGAUACCCUGGUAG